rnacentral:rRNA from 1 species
AGAGUUUGAUCAUGGCUCAGAUUGAACGCUGGCGGCAUGCCUUACACAUGCAAGUCGAACGGUAACAGGUCUUCGGAUGCUGACGAGUGGCGAACGGGUGAGUAAUACAUCGGAACGUGCCCGAUCGUGGGGGAUAACGAGGCGAAAGCWUUGCUAAUACCGCAUACGAUCUACGGAUGAAAGCGGGGGAUCUUCGGACCUCGCGCGGACGGAGCGGCCGAUGGCAGAUUAGGUAGUUGGUGGGAUAAAAGCUUACCAAGCCGACGAUCUGUAGCUGGUCUGAGAGGAUGAUCAGCCACACUGGGACUGAGACACGGCCCAGACUCCUACGGGAGGCAGCAGUGGGGAAUUUUGGACAAUGGGCGAAAGCCUGAUCCAGCCAUGCCGCGUGCAGGAUGAAGGCCUUCGGGUUGUAAACUGCUUUUGUACGGAACGAAAAGCCUCUUUCUAAUAAAGAGGGGUCAUGACGGUACCGUAAGAAUAAGCACCGGCUAACUACGUGCCAGCAGCCGCGGUAAUACGYAGGGUGCAAGCGUUAAUCGGAAUUACUGGGCGUAAAGCGUGCGCAGGCGGUUUUGUAAGACAGAGGUGAAAUCCCCGGGCUCAACCUGGGAACUGCCUUUGUGACUGCAAGGCUGGAGUGCGGCAGAGGGGGAUGGAAUUCCGCGUGUAGCAGUGAAAUGCGUAGAUAUGCGGAGGAACACCGAUGGCGAAGGCAAUCCCCUGGGCCUGCACUGACGCUCAUGCACGAAAGCGUGGGGAGCAAACAGGAUUAGAUACCCYGGUAGU